rnacentral:lncRNA from 1 species
CUCUUUCUGUCCUCUGGAAGUGAUGAAAAGAUCACAUGAUGAGUAGGCUCGGCGACCCAGGACCCUCGUAAGUCGGAGAAGGCAUCGGACACAUCUUCCCACAUACACAACCCCCAUGCUGGAUCUGCUGCACUCCAAAGCAUGUGAGUGACAACAGGCUUGGCAGCCCUUGGGGUGGUGAAAGAUCUGGCUAGAGCAAGCCUCCCCAGCAUGCUCAUCAGGUUAGUGAGGAUACUGUCAUGGAUGGCAGUGCCA